AGGCCAAUAGCUCAAUUGGUAGAGCACCGGUCUCCAAAACCGGGGGUUGGGGGUUCGAUUCCCUCUUGGCCUGCCA
rnacentral:tRNA from 1 species